rnacentral:rRNA from 1 species
CUUCGGAGUUAGUGGCGGACGGGUGAGUAACGCGUGAGAAUCUGCCUCUAGGACGGGGACAACAGAGGGAAACUUCUGCUAAUCCCGGAUGAGCCGGAAGGUCAAAGAUUUAUCGCCUAGAGAUGAGCUCGCGUCUGAUUAGCUAGUUGGUGAGGUAAAAGCUUACCAAGGCAACGAUCAGUAGCUGGUCUGAGAGGAUGAUCAGCCACACUGGGACUGAGACACGGCCCAGACUCCUACGGGAGGCAGCAGUGGGGAAUUUUCCGCAAUGGGCGCAAGCCUGACGGAGCAAGACCGCGUGGGGGAGGAAAGCCUUUGGGUUGUAAACCCCUUUUCUCAGGGAAGAAGCAAGUGACGGUACCUGAGGAAUCAGCCUCGGCUAACUCCGUGCCAGCAGCCGCGGUAAUACGGAGGAGGCAAGCGUCAUCCGGAAUGAUUGGGCGUAAAGCGUUCGUAGGUGGCAACUCAAGUCUGCUGUCAAAGACCGGAGCUCAACUCCGGAAAGGCAGUGGAACCUGGGUAGCUGGAGUGCGGUAGGGGCAGAGGGAAUUCCCGGUGUAGCGGUGAAAUGCGUAGAGAUCGGGAAGAACACCGGUGGCGAAAGCGCUCUGCUGGGCCGCAACUGACACUGAGGGACGAAAGCUAGGGGAGCGAAUGGGAUUAGAUACCCCAGUAGUCCUAGCUGUAAACGAUGGAAACUAGGUGUUGCCUGUAUCGACACAGGCAGUGCCGUAGCUAACGCGUUAAGUUUCCCGCCUGGGGAGUACGCACGCAAGUGUGAAACUCAAAGGAAUUGACGGGGGCC